GCAAUUUUAUAUGAACAAUAGCAGAGUAAUUAUAUUGCAUCAAUAAAAGAUGCAAUAUCCCUUCGUUACAUAUUAACCCAAGAAAACAUAAUACAAGAGCAUUUCACCCCAAAACAGUUCUCCUUCCCCAAAAGACCUUGCGAUGAGCAUCAAAUCCAAACUUAGACAACACACCCAUCUCUCUCUAUCUAUCUAUCUAUGUGAGGGAAUAAAACUAAAUUUAUUUUCUCUACCUCUUUUUACUGCAUCAACUUUUUCGUGAUGAAUCGCCCAUCAAGACAGUGAAGAUCGAGACAAUUUACUUCCUUGCCUCCAUGGACAUGAUUGAAUCGGUGGAGACCAUGCUCAAGGAGAAGUAGAUGGUAAUUAUCAGAUGUUUUAGCUUGCCCAAUUUUUUCCACCAGGUUAUUCAAAUUCAGUCUCAAAUAGACGAGCCUCGAGCAGAAGUCACAAAUUUCUUGGAAAUGUCUGCGGGAUGUCAAGAUUGAUCAUUUAUGGCUGUUCAGGAUAAGAGUGGCAAUCCCCAGGGAUCCUCAAAAGUGGAAUUGUUGAUCCAUUGCCUGAUCUUUUGAAGGUCAUGAUUAGAUGGCUUGUAAGGUGGCAUGUGAUGCCUUCGACUUGUGUUCCAGACAAAUGUAUUAUCAACAUUUAUGAAGAGGGCGAUUGCAUACCACCACAUAUUAACAAUCAUGAUUUUGUGUGCCCGUUUUGUACUGUUUCAUUCCUUAGCGAGUGCAACAUUGUGUUCGAAUCCAACUUGAAAAUAGUGGGUCCUGGUGAAUUUGUUGGUGCAAUUUUAAUAUCGUUACCAGUGGAGCCAGAUUUCCAUCACAUUUUUAGAAGAAUGGUUGAAUAUUAAAAAAAAUUGGAUAUACUUCUGAGCAUGAUUUACAAGGCUUGCAACCCUUGUCAUAUGAAGCGGACACAUAAAAGAAAUCAAGCUCCUCCAGGCCAAGAUUUUCCACAAAAAAACAGUCAGUGAGAUAAGAAGAGAGCAUGGAAAGAGUAAAGACUGGAGUAAUGUAUAUUAUGUUAGGAUCUGUGGAUGAGCUCUACUUAUAUGGUAUGCAGUUUUAGAAAAUGGUUUGAGUUUACUAGGUACAUUGGAUGUUCUUUUUGGGUUGGUUAUCUAUUGUUGGAGGAGAGGAAUAAGGGGGCAUAGUCAGCAGAGGAAGACCAAAAAUUGAAAUCUUAUAUAUUAUGAGAUUUGGCAUUUGGAACUGGAGCCAUAUGCCUAAAUUUGCUGGACUUUCAAGAAAGAGGAAAAUUUGUAGACUUCGAUGGAUGAACUAUCUUUGCCCUGUGUUAAGAGAGGACCCUUUACCAUAGAAGAAGUCAAAAUUGUCAUCAAAAUUUAUCAGGAACUUGGGAAUAGAUGGUCAGCUAUUGCAGGAAGAUUAUCUGCAAGAACAGAUAACCAAAUAAAAAAUUUGUUCCACACUCACUUAAAGAAGCAUUUGGGAGUGAAAACUGAUGCCUUGAUGAAGAGGAGAAAAAGGAUAUUUGUGAAGAAAGCCAAAGAAAAUGAGAUGAAAAAUAAUAUUGAUGCUGACAAACCAUCGCCUGAUGUUUGUAAUUCAUCAGAGAAGAGUAACAUGACUAUUGUUACAUGGGAAGAAAAACAAACGAGGGAUAUUGUUUCUAUUAAUGCAGUUGUGGAUGAAGCAGCAGACAUGGAAGUUAGGAGGCCAGUUACAUUGGAAGGCUACCCAGAAAUUGAAACAAAUAACCUUGGUUGUCAUCUUUACCAGUUUGAGUACCCUCAGCCGUGUACUAUUUCUGAUUUUGAUUUCUUCCAUCAGUUUGAUGUACUUUUUUGAGAUACUGAACAUCUUAGUAUUUUUUGAGAAGAACCCUACUAUCUUUCUCGAAGGAAGGAGGAGUAUAAAAGUAUGUGUGCAGCGCAACUGAUCCAUACCAUGUUGCUCCUUCAAUUAUAUAUGAUCAUUGUAUUCCUCAAA